CACGUAGGGGGCGAGCGUUGUCCGGAUUUAUUGGGCGUAAAGGGUGCGUAGGUGGCGCCAUAAGUCAGGUGUGAAAUCUCGGGGCUUAACUCCGAAACUGCAUUUGAUACUGUGGUGCUUGAGGACUGGAGAGGAGACUGGAAUUCACGGUGUAGCAGUGAAAUGCGUAGAUAUCGUAAGGAAGACCAGUGGCGAAGGCG
rnacentral:rRNA from 1 species